UACGUAGGUGGCAAGCGUUGUCCGGAUUUACUGGGCGUAAAGAGCGCGCAGGCGGUUGGAUAAGUCGAAUGUGAAAGCCCCCGGCUCAACUGGGGAGGGUCAUUCGAUACUGUCCGACUCGAAGGCAGGAGAGGGAAGCGGAAUUCCCGGUGUAGUGGUGAAAUGCGUAGAUAUCGGGAGGAACACCAGUGGCGAAGGCGGCUUUCUGGCCUGUUCUUGACGCUGAGGCGCGGAAA
rnacentral:rRNA from 1 species